CCCAACUAUCCCUAUUAAUCAUUACGUCAAUCCUAGAAACCAACAAAAUAGGUUUGAACGUCCUAUUUCAUUAUUCCAUGCUAAUGUAUUCAAGCAAUUGCCUGCUUUAAACACUCUAAUUUUUUCAAAGUAACAGUCCUGUUUCCCUGCAACACCAAAUUAAUGACAUUACAGUUCUUCAGAAAGGAGGAAUCAGCGAGACCAGUUCAUACCAGUGGCACGACCAACCUGCUGACCCCGAAAUUCAACUACGAGCUUUUUAACUGCAACAACUUUAAUAUACGCUAUUGGAGCUGGAAUUACCGCGGCUGCUGGCACCAGACUUGCCCUCCAA
rnacentral:misc_RNA from 1 species